rnacentral:rRNA from 1 species
CGCAAGCCUGAUGCAGCCAUGCCGCGUGUGUGAAGAAGGCCUUCGGGUUGUAAAGCACUUUCAGUAAGGAGGAAAGGUUAAGUGUUAAUAGCGCUUAGCUGUGACGUUACUUACAGAAGAAGCACCGGCUAACUCCGUGCCAGCAGCCGCGGUAAUACGGAGGGUGCGAGCGUUAAUCGGAAUUACUGGGCGUAAAGCGUACGCAGGCGGUUUGUUAAGCGAGAUGUGAAAGCCCCGGGCUCAACCUGGGAACUGCAUUUCGAACUGGCAAACUAGAGUGUGAUAGAGGGUGGUAGAAUUUCAGGUGUAGCGGUGAAAUGCGUAGAGAUCUGAAGGAAUACCGAUGGCGAAGGCAGCCACCUGGGUCAACACUGACGCUCAUGUACGAAAGCGUGGGGAGCAAACAGGAUUAGAUACCCUGGUAGUCCACGCCGUAAACGAUGUCUACUAGAAGCUCGGUUCCUCGGAACUGUUUUUCAAAGCUAACGCAUUAAGUAGACCGCCUGGGGAGUA